CCACUUGUUUGAUUAAUAAACUAAGGCUCAGGCACAGUCACCUAUUUGUUGAUUUAAAUUUCAUUUUAUAUCCAGAUUAGAGCAGGGAGGAGAAAAGGAUCCAUUUUUCUUAUCUUUUUGGAAACACUUUACGGAGACAGAUUUCAGGUAUUAUGUCUUGUCAUUUACCCGUGAGCAGAGAUAGAAACAGUACGUGGUUAGAGUUUCUUUGUUUGGAUUUGUUCUUUCUGAUCUGAGGGGACUUUAAGGGUAGGAGCUCACAUUCAGUAAUUGAAGGGCAGGCAUCUCUCAGGGCUGAAAUGCAGCCUGCUCAGGGUUAGAAAUUCUGAGAGCAGACAUUGGAGCAGAACCCUGGGAGAGUCAUGUAACGAGCUUGACGUGUGUUGUUAAUUCCCCAAGCGGCAGCGAAAGCUCCCGGGAGGAUGGAGUUUACAUGGUUUACAGCCAGACUGAACAAACAACAGUGUGAUUAAGUUACACGCAUUAGUUGGCUCCAGAACCAGAAUAGAAAUGUACAUGUUAAUCUGGGAUGGAAAGUUUUCAACAAAGUGGAGGCCGCUUGCACUGACUUGUGGGAGAGGAGAUGGGGGAGUCAGGGGCGGUACUGGCUGUGGAAUCUGAGGCGCCCAGUGUGAUAGGAAGAUGGGGCCCCUUGCUUCAAAAUUAAGAAUUUUCAAGACGGCCACAGCAGAGCAUUAAACCAAGUGCAAGGUCCUUCUGAGCAUGGGUGGGACCCGUGAGGUCGCAGAGGCUGGAAGCCCUUGAAGCCCUGGAGAAGGGAGGUUAUAAGCUCUGGGCUAAGGAGGGGUCUGUGUACCAAGUGGCGCUGCCUGGAAGGUCAGAGAUGAAAGGCUUUCAGAUUAUAUUUCUGGAGUCACUUGGGUGCCCCAAGUCACUUUUAAGCUGCGGGGAUUCAGCCGUGAGCAAGCAAGAGCUGUUGGGUGUAUGGUUACAGCUGCGGGCUCUGGCGUCGGCCUGUCAGCUUGGAGAGUUUUAAGAGCUCCACUAACCGUGUGCAUUUCCCGUCUGUAAAUGGGCUGAAUGGUAAUAACACCCACCUCUGACGUGAGGACCAUGCCCAUCACGAGUUAUCAUGUGCAAGUGUCUGGACACCUCAAGGGUUUUAAUGGAUGUCAGCAAAGACGACAGGCAGUCAGAUUCAAUCGGCGGAUGGGGACCGAGUGCCUCUCCUCACAGGCCUUCUGUAACAGGGUACAACUGAUCCUCGUUGUUCACGGAGUCUGCGUUUGCCAACGCACCUACCCACCAACACUGAUUUGUAAGCCCCCGGCUCAGGACUUCUGCGGCUUUCUCUGCUGUUCAUGGUCAGAGCAGAAAGGCAAAAUUUUGAGUCGCUCACAUUCCCAGCUGAGAUCCAACUAAGGGAGGUGGACAGUGAAGAUGUCCUGAAGCCAAAGGUGGAAAAAUUGUUAGAGUCGCAUGUGCUUACGGAGAGAUGCUAGACCCAGCAGGGAAUGACUCAACAGAACCAUGAGCUGCAAGAAAAACCGUAGAGCGCCUGCCCCCCCAGGGAUGUGGAAGAAUCAGAGAUGUUUGUAAAAGCACAAAGGGAGCGUUGCACACAGCAGGCUGGGUGGCUUGGGCAGUGCAAAGCCUGGAAUCCCCUGAGCAAGCAAUGUUUCAGCUGGCUGGACAGAUCAAAUAACACUUGGGCUGGUUAACAAAAGGCACCCAAGUGGGAAGGUGUUGGAAGCCAAAGUGUGGAAAUUUACCCAACAUUGUCUCUUUGACA
ensembl:lncRNA